GAUGAACGCUGGCGGCGUGCCUAAUACAUGCAAGUCGAGCGAACAGACGAGGAUCUUGCUCCUCUGACGUUAGCGGCGGACGGGUGAGUAACACGUGGAUAACCUACCUAUAAGACUGGGAUAACUUCGGGAAACCGGAGCUAAUACCGGAUAAUAUAUUGAACCGUAUGGUUCAAUAGUGAAAGACGGUUUUGCUGUCACUUAUAGAUGGAUCCGCGCCGCAUUAGCUAGUUGGUAAGGUAACGGCUUACCAAGGCAACGAUGCGUAGCCGACAGGAGAGGGUGAUCGGCCACACUGGAAGUGAGACACGGACAAGACGCCUACGGGAGGCAGCAGUAGGGAAUCUUACGCAAUGGGCGAAAGCCUGACGGAGCAACGCCACGUGAGUGAUGAAGGUCUUCGGAUCGUAAAACUCUGUUAUUGGGGGAGAACAAAUGUGUAAGUAACUAUGCACGUCUUGACGGUACCUAAUCAGAAAGCCACGGCUAACUACGUG
rnacentral:rRNA from 1 species